CAAGUCGAACGAUGAAGUUCCUUCGGGAAUGGAUUAGUGGCGAACGGGUGAGGAACACGUGAGAAACCUGCCUUUCAUUUUGGGAUAACUCCGGGAAACCGGGGCUAAAACCGAAUACUCCGUCUUGGCGGCAUCGCUAAGCCGGGAAAAAAUUUUGAUGAAAGAUGGUCUCGCGGCCUAUCAGCUAGUUGGUGAGGUAAUGGCUCACCAAGGCGACGACGGGUAGCCGGCCUGAGAGGGCGACCGGCCACACUGGGACUGAGACACGGCCCAGACUCCUACGGGAGGCAGCAGUGGGGAAUAUUGGGCAAUGGGCGCAAGCCUGACCCAGCGACGCCGCGUGAGGGAUGAAGGCCUUCGGGUUGUAAACCUCUUUCAGUAGGGAAGAAGCGAAAGUGACGGUACCUAAAGAAGAGGCACCGGCUAACUAUGUGCCAGCAGCCGCGGUAAUACAUAGGGUGCAAGCGUUGUCCGGAAUUAUUGGGCGUAAAGAGCUCGUAGGUCGUUUGCCGCGUCGAUUGUGAAAAUCUGAGGCUCAACCUCAGACCUGCAGUCGAUACGGGCAAACUAGAGUGUGGUAGGGGAGACUGGAAUUCCUGGUGUAGCGGUGGAAUGCGCAGAUAUCAGGAGGAACACCAAUGGCGAAGGCAGGUCUCUGGGCCAUAACUGACACUGAGGAGCGAAAGCGCGGGGAGCGAACAGGAUUAGAUACCCUGGUAGUCCGCGCCGUAAACGAUGGGCACUAGCUGUGAGAGCCUUCCACGGUUCUCGCGACGCAGCAAACGCAUUAAGUGCCCCGCCUGGGGAGUACGAUCGCAGGAUUAAAACUCAAAGGAAUUGACGG
rnacentral:rRNA from 1 species